AUGAUUUUACGUUUCUACAGUGGAUUUCUUUUGUUCUUGACCAGCUUGCCAGACCCCCACUGCCGUAUCAAUUGCUUUGUACUUACAGUUGGAAGAAGCCUUGGGAGCAGAGGGGCCGGGUUCUGGGCGCUUCUGGUCCGGCGGCACGUCGCAGAGCUACAGCCCUACACCUGGGAGGAGAGAAGGUAUGUUAAAAAUCUCGUCCUUGUCAGAUCAUCUGAUAAAAGGAGACUGAUGCUUGUGGUUUUAAAUUCAUGCUGGUGUGAUGGCUGUCCCCGGAAACUUCAAAUAAGCAGGACAGGCAAAAUGGAAAAAUCAUCUCACAAGUUUGUAAAGCUCCAAACCACUCUCCUGUAUUUUACAUCAAAACAACUCUGCUGCUGGGCAUCGGCUCCUGUGCCCCUGUUUGUGCUGGGGGGAGGGUUGCUUGCUGUGGGAGCUGGGAGUUCUCAGUGAUGGGGGAUAAGAGGCCUUGCUUCUGGUGAGGUCUCUAAUUUUCAUUUGUUCAAUAUUCAUAAGAAAUUCAUCCUCCCUUAAUUUCCAUCAUGUGAAACUAGUGUGUUUUACUUUGUCAUUUCAUUUAUCAGCUGUUCGGUUGGUGAUAAUUAGAUUGCGUUUUUCAUGCUGGGUCCUUUCAUUCUUCUGUCGCCUGUUAUUGUGCCAUGUGGUCUUGGCAAGAAACACAUUCCCAUUCUUUAAAGAAAAAAAAAAAAACAACAACAACAAAAAAAACCUGCACACAUCUCACAUUCUGCUAAUUAAGAAAGUGAUCAACUUCCAGGGUUGAAAGAGAUAAUCAACACACUUGAACCUGCUGCGAUUAAGAAUCAUUUGGUAUGAAUAACUGUCGUAUUGAGUUGGAAAAGAUGAGGUAUGUAGUUGCCAUAGAAAGAUAUUUGUUUUAAGGGCUGUCCAGGCACUCGAGAGCUAUAGCCUUCAGUGUCGCUGCUGGUUUUUUGCUACAGCCUGUAAAUCAGAGCUGUUACAUUAGCUCCGUGCUCUCCCUAUUAGGAAAUGGCAUAUAGGCGGUGAUGUAAAUAUCCUACUUCUGGCCCCUCUGUUACUGUGAGGAGCAGAGGGAGGGAAGGAGAGAACAGAAAGCAGCCACGUCUAAAAAUAUACCUGC
rnacentral:lncRNA from 1 species